rnacentral:rRNA from 1 species
AUUGAACGCUGGCGGCAUGAUUUACACAUGCAAGUCGAACGGUAACAGGCCGCCAGGUGCUGACGAGUGGCGAACGGGUGCGUAAUGCAUCGGAACGUGCCCAGUCGUGGGGGAUAACUACUCGAAAGAGUAGCUAAUACCGCAUACGAUCUAUGGAUGAAAGCGGGGGACCGUAAGGCCUCGCGCGAUUGGAGCGGCCGAUGUCAGAUUAGGUAGUUGGUGGGGUAAAGGCUCACCAAGCCAACGAUCUGUAGCUGGUCUGAGAGGACGACCAGCCACACUGGGACUGAGACACGGCCCAGACUCCUACGGGAGGCAGCAGUGGGGAAUUUUGGACAAAGGGCGCAAGCCUGAUCCAGCAAUGCCGCGUGCAGGAAGAAGGCCUUCGGGUUGUAAACUGCUUUUGUACGGAACGAAACGGCUCUGGUUAAUACCCGGGGCUAAUGACGGUACCGUAAGAAUAAGCACCGGCUAACUACGUG